rnacentral:tRNA from 1 species
GCGGUAGUAGCUCAGUUGGUAGAGCGCUUCCUUGCCAAGGAAGAGGUCGCCAGUUCGAAUCUGGUCUACCGCUCCA